rnacentral:rRNA from 1 species
UACGGAGGGAGCUAGCGUUGUUCGGAAUUACUGGGCGUAAAGCGCACGUAGGCGGCUUUGCAAGUCGGGUGUGAAAGCCCUCAGCUUAACUGAGGAAGUGCGCCCGAAACUGCAGAGCUUGAAUACCGGAGAGGGUGGCGGAAUUCCCCAAGUAGAGGUGAAAUUCGUAGAUAUGGGGAGGAACACCGGUGGCGAAGGCGGCCACCUGGACGGUAACUGACGCUGAGACGCGAAAGCGUGGGGAGCAAACAGG